UCCCCGGCCAGCCUCCGACUCCCGGCUGCAGAUGAGGAGAAACCGUUUUCUACUGCCGUUUAUCUGCUGAUGAAACACAAUCAAAAGCUGAUCGAUUUCGACUUGGACCUGGAGCCUUCAGGGGAGAAACUGGUAUGCAAGAGGACGAGCAGUUUUCCCAACCGUCCAGAUUUCUAGACUCCAGGCUGAACUCUACAGUUAUGUUGCUGCCAAGAGGAAUGAAUCCAUGAAGAGCGGCCCAUCGAUGGGAAACCCGCUGAGAUUCUUUCCUUCUGCUCAUGCUGCUCGUGGAUGACGUUGUGGAGCGAGAAGAGCGCUACGUUCGUUCAGACCUCCAGCUGGAGAUGGAAAUCCAAACUGAGCUUUUGCACUUUGAUUGUAAUCGUGUCUGAAUUUCUGCACGUUUUAUUUCAAUUUAAUCUUUUGCGAGUGUUGCUAUGACGCUAAAAAACAGAGCAAAGCCGCGAAGAUCUUUGACGCUUUUUUCAACGUUUUUAUUCUACGGAUUUUGGUGUUUCCGACAUUUUUGACACUUGCCGUUUUUGUCGCCUUUUCUAAAGUUUUUGUCGCUGUUUUCGCCCCGUUUUCUGAGGUUAUAGUCGUUUUUUCUGACGUUUUUUGCUUUUUCCGAAGUUUUUGUCGCUUUUUCCGAAGUUUUUGUCGCUUUUUUCAAGGUUU